UGUGCAGCAGAAACACAACAGACACACGUGUGUAUCUUCACUGCUGCAGAGGAGGAGAGAGAGCAAUGCCUGAACACAAACACUACAGCAACAUCACUACAAACAAACCCACCGAAACAAAGUCACUUACAGGAUCAGUGACGUGUUGUGGACUGUAAGCCUGUUGAACAAAAGCAGAGACGUGUGGACAGACACUGACUGUACUGAUGAUGAUCAUCUGCUGCUGCACAGGCUGUAAAGUAUAACCCCUGCUGGACACGGCUCCGGAAGCUCCAGGGGGAGACCGAACUGGUAUCCCCCCUUCUUCAGGCGCGCCUCACACUCACUCACCAUUCACACAUAUCGCAGAGUUCUGGCUGGGACCGAUACCAGCAACCCCUGAAGCCGUGGGGCAGCGCUCUUACCACAGAGCCACAGAUCUCCUGUCUGAACACCUGCUGGAACUGAUGUUUGACUGCUGACCUGUGUGUGAGCUGAUUCAAUAAAACAAGAUACAAGUCAGAUCUGAACCCUUGUCUUUAUGAGUCUCUUCCUCAGAGAACUUGUGUUCUGUAUAAUGAGUUGAACAUUACCCAUAGUGAGGAUUGAACCCGGGUCUUCUUGAUCGAAGCCCAACACUUUAUGACCUGAGCCACCAAGUCUGAUGUUGGAGGAGAUAUCUGAAUGGGGCUUUAUCACAAACUCCAUCAUGACCAAGGUUUGACACAUGUUUCUUUGUAAUUUGCUCCACAAAACAACCAUAUCCAUAAAUCAAGCUCUGUGGUUCAGUGGAUGAGCGUUUGACUAUUGUACAGAAGUGCGAAGGAUCAAAUCCCACUCUUGCUAGAUUCAAGUCAGAUGUGAACUCUUGUCUUUAUGAGUCUCUUCCUCAGAGAACUUGUGUUUAUUCACUCAAUCAUCAUGGGGUUCACAUCAGCGUCCAGCUUGAGCUCAUUAUAUUCACCAUCAGCUUCCAUCAUCAGGGCAGGACACUGAUGGUGAAUAUAAUAAGCUCAAGCUGGACAUUAGCCAUAGUGAGAUUUGAACCCGGGUCUCUUUGAUUAAAGUUCAACACUUUACGACCUGAGCCACAGAGUCUGGAUGGUGAAGCAAAUGUUUAAUUGGAGCUUUAUUUAUUUCGUAAUUUUACCUGUGAUUUGAGAUAACUUUCUUUGUAAUUUGGCUCACAAAAAGUCUUCUGCAAUUAGUCAAGUCCUGUGGCUCAGUGUAUGAGUCUUUGACUACCGUUCAACAGACUGAAGGAUCGAAUCUCUCACUUGUGCUUUCAUGCAGGAGACCUGGGUUCAAAUCCCUCUAUUGCUUACUUUACUGUCAUUUGCUGGAAUUCAGUGAGACAAAGUGGCCCAAGCAGCAUGAAAGCCAUGAUGGGCUAGUGGCUGAACACACAGUCAAUGUGAACGAGACUACGGUAGAGGCUUGGGUACGAAACUCACUUCACUGUGUGGAUCAGACUAAAGGAACUGCUGAAAGGAAAGUGAUCAGUGCAGGAUUGAGGAAAAACACUUUUGUUUUUUGUAUUUAGAUCAGCAGUAAAGAGCAGUAACAGGACUCAGAUUUGAACCCAGGUAUGCUGUGAGAUCUUCACAUCUCAGGCUGUGUGCUCUGACCACUACACCAUCAGCACACACACAAACACACACUUCUUUCUCCAGUGUAAGGAUGACCACAUUUACACAUUUUGAAAAAAAAACUAAAUAAAUACAAAUAACUAAUAUCAAAUGUAAAUUAUACAAUACAUUCAAACUACAUCAUAUGCUAAUAUAUUAUUACAUUUCAUUGUUCAAAAUGUGAAAAACCUGCUUAUUCUUCAGUCACACACAUCAACCAUAUUUUAAAUGAUCUUACAGCUGCUUGUGGGGCUUUAAAUGUCACUAAACACAAUUAAACACUGUAAAUAUCAUCAUUUACCUCUAAAGUCUCCUCAUACUGUAUUGAGGACUCUACACCAAAUCUGGCCAAUCAAAUGCUUUCUACAGAAAGUCCCUCCCCCAACAUACACGCGACAGAGCAGCAGCACAACAAACACACUUUCUGGACUCUCUACUGGAAAUAUGAGCUCAUAAAUACCUUUACUGGAGCUGUGAAUCCGCCUGGAUGUGGAGGAGUGUGUGGAGGAGCGUCAGAAAGAGGAAAGAUGUGCAGCAGAAACACAACAGACACACGUGUGUAUCUUCACUGCUGCAGAGGAGGAGAGAGAGCAAUGCCUGAACACAAACACUACAGCAACAUCACUACAAACAAACCCACCGAAACAAAGUCACUUACAGGAUCAGUGAAGUGUUUUGGACUGUAAGACUGUUGAACACAAGCAGAGACGUGUGGACAGACACUGACUGUACUGAUGAUGAUCAUCUGCUGCUGCACAGGCUGUAAAGUAUAACCCCUGCUGGACACGGCUCCGGAAGCUCCAGGGGGAGACCGAACUGGUAUCCCCCCUUCUUCAGGCGCGCCUCACACUCACUCACCAUUCACACAUAUCGCAGAGUUCUGGCUGGGACCGAUACCAGCAACCCCUGAAGCCGUGGGGCAGCGCUCUUACCACAGAGCCACAGAUCUCCUGUCUGAACACCUGCUGGAACUGAUGUUUGACUUGUUCUGAGCUGUGAUUUUAAUAAUAAACAGUAAAGUAA